rnacentral:sRNA from 1 species
AGAUCAUUUAAAAACACAAUGCAUAUAAUACUUAUGUAUUCACAGUGUUUGUUUUGCACUGGGUAUUUGAUUAAAGUUAAAGGUAGAUGCUUAAUAAUCAAUAGGGGCUGUUGUGAUAUUAAAUUUGUGUAUGAUGUAGAAAAUGUAGUUCGUUUUAUUUGUGAUAAGAUUUAGCUGUUUAAUAGUUAGACAACAACAGAUUGGAGAUAAAUUUCACCCUUUGGGGCUUUCAAUGAUAUAUCACCUGUGAAUCUAACUGCUCAAUGAUUGCCCACCAAUUCCAUUUUGCCAGUUCCAUGCAUUUGAAGUGCAUUAAUUGUCCCAUGAUAUAAUGGCUUUUAUUCAUCAUAUGCAAAUUUCUCUGUUGAUAAAUUAGAAUUUUUGACAAAAGUCAUAUGUCUGAAUUACUAUUAUAAUAGCUGAGAAAUAAGCCAAUCCUGUAGAAUGUUUGCUUAUACAGAUAAGGUUUCCUUCCCAGCUCGAUGUACUUUCCCAACAACAUGGACUAGCUGCCAAUUAACAUUUUAUUUUCACAAAUUUAUCUAUUUUUUUCUAUUUUUAUUCAUCUUUUAAAAGAACAUUAUCUUGAUGGACCUAAUGAUAUUUUAAACCUUAUUAUUUUAGCAAUUUAUGAAAAAAAACUCGAACACAACUAAAGGGAACAUAUGUUUUAUGUCACAGGAAAUGAUGGUUACCGUACAUUAUAUAUAUUUUUUAUUAUUUAAUUUUAUGAUUCACUGAUGGCUUUUUUUAAAACUUAAUCAUGUCAUUUUGCAUGAAAUUUAUGAUUACGUUUUCAAUUUUUAAGCUGUUCCUGAAUUGAAUGCACCCAAGGAUAACAUACAUAUUUAUGAAGUAGUGUACUUAAAAUUUAUAACAGUUGAUCUUAAUUGACCAGAUGAUGUCAUCUUAUUCCUGAAGAUUUUUUUUUAAGUGCAUGCAAAAAGAAUAGAGAAAAAAAUUAUGUCUGCAAUUGUACUUCUAGCUGCACACAUUGCAUUGUAUUGGAUAAUUUUUGCCAGUAGUUUUUGGGGAAAAGAAGUUCACACAAAUAAAAAUUUAUGUUAUAUAUGAUCAUGACCAAUCCCUAUUAUAAUUGCAUUUGUACAAUGCAGUCCCCGAUUUAAGUUUUGACGUAUAUGUGGGCUGUAUGUAACUUUUUUGACAUUGCCUGCAUGUAUAAUUAAACUUUUUACAUUGCCUGUAUAUACCUUUUAAUCAAUCUCUCGUCAGAGCAGGUCUCUGUUAAGACUGCAACAUAAAAAAAGGAUGAUUUCUUAUUUUUGUAAUUUGUGAAUUUAUUACUAAGCACUGAUGGUAUUAAAAUUUGUACCUUAUUGUUAUCAUUAUUUUCUGUGAGAGAUUUUCUUAAAGUUUAUUACCUUUUUAAUGCAUUGUCAAGUUUUAUUGAUCAUUAAAUUAUAAAAGAACAUUG